UCUCUGGCAGUCCAGUGUUUAAGACUCUGUGCUCCCAAGGCAGGGGCACAGGUUCAAUCCCUGAUCAGGGAA
rnacentral:tRNA from 1 species